CGUUGAUCUAAGGGACAGCAACAUUAAAGAAACUACUACGGCUUUUUUUUUUUAAAUCUUUCAAUCAUUUUAGUCUUUACCUGAGUCGGGUUUGGACCUCCUCAUAGAAGGGAAAAGUUCAUCAUGAGAGUUCAGACGGAGCAGUCUGGGUUGGUCGCUUCUCUCUCCAUGCUUUGGAGGAAUGAAAGGAUAUCUAGAAAAAACGUGUCGGACGAGUGUUCCGAGGCCCCGGCUUCCACGACCACACGUUACUGUGACACAACACACGUCCGGCCGCCGAUACAGCUUCACCUGCCGUUACAGGUGGGACCUCCAGCCUGCGGGAAGCCUGCAACAGCAGCCUACCUGCAGCAUAACCGAGAUGUUGACAAGGACAUCCCAGCUGUGAACCCUCGACCAAAAGGAUCCAGCAGUUUAAUUUUAGCCAGAAACACGCACUGGAUUCAAAGGGGACUUGCAGAUGAGCUUAGAAGGUAAAAAAUUGGUUUCCAGUGACCUGUGGCCUCUACAGUCCGACAUGUGUGCAUUCAUGCUGUAACAUCUGUCCCGUGAGACAGGAAGGCUGGAAGAUCUCCGCCUUCCCUUCCUCUUCCAACAUGUCUGUUACACAGCCAGCAUACCAGCAUCAAAAGAGGAGAGACCCAGGACACCCAAAGAAACACAUCAGAAGGCCAAGUGAAGCUCUCGAGUUUUUUUUUCUGCUCAUAGCCUCUGCUUGGCUUGUUCCAUUGAUUAAAAUAAUUCUCGACUUUCGUUUUGUCCCUUUGAAUUGGUCUGCUUGCAUAUAGAAGAGCAGCGUUCUGCCACUUAACUUAUGUACCAUUUUUGUCAUCAACACGCGAAUACAAAUAAAGUUGGAGAUCAACCCAGUGGCCUGU
rnacentral:lncRNA from 1 species